UACGUAGGCAGCAAGCGUUGUUCGGAGUUACUGGGCGUAAAGGGUGUGUAGGCGGUUGUUUUAAGUUUGGUGUGAAAUCUCCCGGCUCAACUGGGAGGGUGCGCCGAAUACUGAAUGACUAGAGUGCGGGAGAGGAAAGUGGAAUUCCUGGUGUAGCGGUGAAAUGCGUAGAUAUCAGGAGGAACACCGGUGGUGAAGGCGGCCUUCUGGACAGUGACUGACGCUGAGACGCGAAAGCGUGGGGAGCGAACGGAUUAGACUAC
rnacentral:rRNA from 1 species